AACUCGAAACUGCACUAACCAAUCAGAAGGUGCAGAUCGCGGAGCUGUGUGUAAAGCGCUCUCUGGUUGGCUGAGAAGAAUUCCAGAAGUAUUUUUGAAAAUCCAGCGGUGCACAGCUGCCUGGAAUGGCUGGUUUCGGGCGACUAAGCAGACACUUUCAGAAGCGCAAGAAAAAGAAUGGCAGCAGUCGACGUCUGGCCCUGAAGGCCAAGCAGUCAUUAAUGCCGGUAUCUGACUGUCAUGUAGACGUUAAAAAGAAUCCAGUUGAUAGCACGCGGGUGGAGCUGGUUGCGGACACCUGUAAUAAGAACAAUGACAGACUAUCCUUCUCUCCGAGAAGUGGGAGGUUGCUGAAUGCAGUUGGGAAAGUUAUGCAGCAAUGGCAGCACAGAAUCAGUCAGAUCUGGACUGGAUUUUGCAGUGUUUUAUUUUUCUGGAGAGUUUAUGCCCAGAGAGUGGAAAGUCUUCAUGAGAAGGUGGAGGAGCUUCAGAAAGAAUUACAGCUGCUUCGUACUAACACUCUGUUACCUUCUGAGCCAAGAUGUUCUAGCUGCCAUGGUACAACUGUCAUGCACCACCAUCAGCACAGCUCUGUUGCUCCACCUAUUGCUCUUCCUCCCCCUCCACCACUUCCACCUCCUCCUCCGCCUCCACCACCACCUGUUCAAGUACCACAGAGACUGCCUUUAGUACCUAAAAGUAGGACCAGUCAGUCAUCCUUGCAGGAGAAGGUUGAUCGACAUGUUGCAGUAACCCUUAAGGACCUGCAGGCAGUGCAGCUAAGAAAAGUAACUACUAAUAAUAAAGUUCGGAUGUCUCCAAAUGGAAAAAGAGCCCCUCUGGUCACUCUAGCAGACCUACAGAGAGUCCGUUUAAGACGUGUUCAGUGCAGCUUCCCAUCACCAAAGAGGCGUAGCCCUGGCAGAUCACCAAGCAAAAGCCCCAUGAAACUGCGCUUACAACUUAGAAAAGUUCAUAUUGACUGUUAAUGACUGCCUGAAGUCUGGAACCCAUGGACAUCACCAAAUGCUGAGUUUCCUCCUUUGAGAUGCUUUGCCAGGUCUUUACUGCAGCCGCCUUCAGUUGCUGCUUGUUUGUGGGUCUUUCUGCCUUCAGUUUUGUCUUCACACUCCAAGUGAUACACCACUGUGUAAUAAAGAAAAUAUUGUAGAAGUAUUUACGCAUUAGUGCAAUAAUGAACAACGUUUUGGAAACAACUGCCAGGGUUCUUUUCCUGUGGGAUCAUAACCACUGAAUGCCAUCAGCUGGAACUGGGACAUGAAGAAAUCAGCCAUUUUAAUGAUUUACUUUGUACUGUGCUCCCACUGAGUAUUGUAAAGUCCCCACCAAAAGUAUUGGAAAGGCAAGGCCAAUUCUUUUGUUUUUGCUAUACACUGAAGACUUCUGGGUUUGAGAUCAAAAGAUGAAUAUGAGAUGAUAGAUCAGAAAUUAAGCUUUCAUUUCUGCUAUUUAAAUCUAGAUGUGUUAAACACCAUGCACCAACAUGGUACCUUUGUUGGCAGACCACUCAAAAGUAAAAGUACUAGAACAGAUAGUCUUAAAAUAAAUAACACUUAAUAUUUGGCUGCAUAUCACUUGCUUGUAAUAAACUGCAUCAAGCUGGUGACCCACUGACAUCAUCAAACUGUUGCACUCUUCUUAUCCAGGCUUGUACUGCAGCUUCUGUCUGUUGCUGUUUGUUUUGGGGGUUUCACCUUUCAGUCUCCUCUUCAGGAGGAGAAAUGUAUGCUCAAUUGGGUUAAGGUCUCGUGAUUGACUUGGCCAGUCUAAAACCUUCCACUUGAUGAAGUCCUUUGUUGUGUUGGCAGUGUGUUUUGGGUCAUUGUCUUGCUGCAUGAUGAAGUUCCUCCCAGUUAGAUUGGAUGCAUUUCUCUGUAAAUUUCUGUAGACUUCUGAAUUUAUUCUGCUGCUACCAUUAUGAGUUACAUCAUGAAUAAAGAUCAGUGAGCCCAUUCCAUAAGCAGCCAUGCAAGACCAAGUCAUGCUUAACCGAUGAGCUUGUAUGUUUUGGAUCAUGAGCAGAUCCUUUCUUUCUCCUUUCUUUCUUCUUUGGUCUUUCCAUCAUCUCAUCUCUGUAUUUCUUUGCAAAUUCCAAUAUGGACUUCUGAUUCUUACUGCUGAUGAUAAAUUUGCAUCUAUAUUUCUGAUCUCAAGGUCAUCUUCAAAUGAUGGAUUGUGAUAACUUCACCCCUGCCCUGGGAAAGUUGUUGGUGAUGUCACUGACUGUUGUUUUUGGGUUUUUCUUCACAGCUCUCACAAUGUUUCUGUCAUCAACUGCUGUUGUUUUCCUCAGCCGACCUGUUCAGUGUAUGGAUGUUACACCACUUUUUCAGGACAUUCCAAAUAGUUGUAUUGGCUAUGCCCAAUGCUUGUGCAAUGGCUCUGAUUGAGUUUCCCUUUUUUCUCAGCUUCAAAAUGGCUUGCUUUUCUCCCUGAUCUCUGGUGUUCAUGUUGGUUUAUCCUUUUUAACAACAAAUGCAGUCUUCACAGGCAACACCCAGGGCUCAAACCAAGAGUACAUAUUCAGGGCUAUUAAUUGUUUAAACACUUAAUCUAACAGGGCACACCUGGGCAACAAGAAAUACCUGUCAGUCACAUGUUCCAAUAUGUCUGAUCAUUUGAAAAAAUGGGUGGGUUCAAACAAAAGGUGUCAUGUUCUAAAGCGUUUAACACUUCUAGAUAUAAAAAUCAGGAAAUGAAAGCUGAAAUUCUGGUCAUUCAUCUUUUGAUCUCAAACACAAACGUCUUCAGUGUAUAGCAAAAAAAAAACAAAAAAAAAAAAAAACUUGCCCUUCCAUUACUUUCAGAGAAGACUGUAUGUUUAUUUUGGUCUGUGGCUGGUUGGUAAAUGACCUAUUGGGACAUGUAUUUACUGUACUGCUAUAUUAUCCAUUAAUGCUAACGGUAAUGAGGUUUUUUUUUUUGGUUUACUGCUUCAAGUUCAAGUGAUAAAGCUGAUAUUUUGGAACUGCACAUGGAAUACAGUUCAUGCUAAAACAUGUUUUAUUGUCAGGAAGCAAACUGAUGUUGGCACAAUGUUUGUUUUGGGCGGCUAUGCUGGCUCUCCUCCUAUACAAUGCUACACCAACACACUUUUCACAACAACCCUCUCCAUGGUGGCAGGGUGGAUUUAAAAGUGGCUUAAAGUGUGUUGGCUUUGGUGGCCUAAUGGACAAAAUGACAUCAGGCCAAUGCUGCCCUCCUAAAUAAAAUGCACUUUGGUCCAAUCAGCUAUAACUUGGCAAUCCACGUGCCUCUCUGGUCAAGCUGGUAGAUGGAAACCACUAAUAAGUUACAGCUGUCUAAUUUACGUAACAUCAUAGACAAGUUGUUUUAAUGAAAAUAAGACAGUAAGAUGGAAGAUCUCAAACAUUUAUUGAUCAGGACAAGUUGAUUAUUGAUUAUAAAUUGUUUAUUAGACAAGUAAUAAGACAGCUGGAAAAUAACUUACCAGCUGACAGAAAUGGCCUACCAGUUUGACCGGCUCUGCCUGUGUUUUGGUCAGACAAAGCUGGAUUUUUCAGCACGUUGGCACCCAACAUCACUUUGCUACCAAGGUUAGUCUGCAUGUUGGAGUUAGUUCAGGCCUCACAGAGCUGCUGACGCUGGGACUCACAGGAAUAACACUGCACAAGCUCCUCCACUACUCAGCAGAUUUACUCAGUAUUUACUCAGAUUUACACACCCAAGCAAUGCUAUUAGGCUAAAAAAAAUGUUGUUUAGUAUUUUCCUGAAACCACUUUUUGUUUUAUUUGCAAAUGUACCUAAAUAUGAUUUUUACUAUGUGUG